rnacentral:rRNA from 1 species
UACAGAGGUGGCAAGCGUUGUUCGGAAUUACUGGGCGUAAAGGGCGCGUAGGCGGUCUUGUAAGUCUUGUGUGAAAUCCCUCGGCUUAACUGAGGAACUGCACGGGAUACUGCGAGACUUGAGAUCGGGAGAGGGAAGCGGAAUUCCGGGUGUAGCGGUGGAAUGCGCAGAUAUCAGGAGGAACACCAACAGCGAAGGCAGCUCGCUGGGACGUUACUGACACUAAGGCGCGAAAGCGAUGGGAGCGAACGAGG